rnacentral:lncRNA from 1 species
AAGAGGGAACCCCAGACGCUGGCCGUCCAAAAUCCACCAAAGAAAGUGACCUCUGAGAAAGUGAGCCAGAAACAUGCUGAGCCUUUGACAGACACUGGCUCUGAGACCCCGACUGCCCGACGGCUCUACACUGCCAGCGGGCCUCCUGAGGGCUACGUCCCCUGUUGGCCGGAGCCCAGCAGCUGUGGGAGCCCCGAGAACGCCUCCAGCGGGGAUGACACAGAAGAUCAGGAUCCUCAUGACCAGCCAAAGAGAAGAAGAAUUAGGAAGCAUAAAUCAAAGAAAAAAUUUAAAAAUCCCAAUAAUGUUCUUAUAGAACAAGCAGAAUUAGAGAAACAGCAGAGUCUGUUACAGGAGAAAUCUCAGCGACAGCACACAGAUGGCACCACAAUAAGCAAAAAUAAAAAAAGGAAACUGAAAAAGAAACAGCAAAUUAAAAGGAAG